rnacentral:rRNA from 1 species
UACGUAGGGCGCAAGCGUUAUCCGGAAUUAUUGGGCGUAAAGAGCUCGUAGGCGGUUUGUCGCGUCUGCCGUGAAAGUCCGGGGCUCAACUCCGGAUCUGCGGUGGGUACGGGCAGACUAGAGUGAUGUAGGGGAGACUGGAAUUCCUGGUGUAGCGGUGAAAUGCGCAGAUAUCGGGAGGAACACCAGUGGCGAAGGCGAGUCCCUGGACAAUUCCUGACGCUGAGGCACGAAAGCUAGGGGAGCAAACAGG